UACGUAGGGGGCUAGCGUUGUCCGGAUUUAUUGGGCGUAAAGAGCGUGUAGGCGGCCAUGUAGGUCCGGUGUGAAAACUCGAGGCUUAACCUCGAGAUGUCAUCGGAAACCAUUUGGCUAGAGUCCGGAAGAGGAGAGUGGAAUUCCUGGUGUAGCGGUGAAAUGCGCAGAUAUCAGGAGGAACACCGGUGGCGAAGGCGGCUUGCUGGGCCUUACCUGACGCUGAGGAGCGAAAGCGUGGGGAGCAAACAGG
rnacentral:rRNA from 1 species